rnacentral:rRNA from 1 species
CGCGUAGGCGGCUCGGUAAGUCUGGAGUGAAAGUCCUGCUUUUAAGGUGGGAAUUGCUUUGGAUACUGUCGGGCUUGAGUGCAGGAGAGGUUAGUGGAAUUCUCAGUGUAGCGGUGAAAUGCGUAGAGAUUGGGAGGAACACCAGUGGCGAAGGCGACUAACUGGACUGUAACUGACGCUGAGGCGCGAAAGUGUGGGGAGCAAACA